GCGAGAGCGGGGCAGGAGGGCGGGGGGAGACGGAGGGUCCGGGUGUUAGUGGGAAAUAGUGGGCGUAAAGUGGGGGCUGGCGGGUCGGUAACGGAGGGAUGAAAGGCCUGGGGUGAACCUAGGAAUACCCGUUCGAACUGGCGAAUUCGAUUCGUGUAGAGGGAGGUAGAAUUCGAGGUGUAGCGGUGAAAUGCGUAGAGAUCUGGAGGAAUACCGGUGGCGCAGGCGGCCCCCGGGACAAAGACUGUCGCUCAUGCACGAAAGCGUGGGCAGCAAACAGUAUUAGAUACUCGUGUAGUC
rnacentral:rRNA from 1 species